rnacentral:rRNA from 1 species
AAGACUGACGCAGCAACGCUGCGUGAGACGAAGCUUUGAGGUGUAACUCCUUUCUCAGGGACGAUAAUGACGGUACCUUGGGAAGAAGCCCCGGCUAACUACGUGCCAGCAGCCGCGGUAAUACGUAGGGGGCAAGCGUGUCCGGGAUUUAUUGGGCGUAAAGCGUUCGCAGGUGGUGCAGGAAGUGAUGUGUGAAAGCGCCUGGCUUAACUGGGCGAGGCCAUGUCAAACUCCUGGACUUGAGGGUCGGAGAGGCAGACGGAAUUCCGGGUGGAGUAGUAAUAUGCGUAGAGAUCCGGAGGAACACCUGUGGCGAAAGCGGUCUGCUAGACGAUGCCUGACACUGAGGAACGAAAGCGUGGGGAGCGAACAGGAUUAGAUACCCUGGUAGUCCACGCCCUAAACGAUGGCUACUAGGUGCUGGGGGUAUCGACCCCUCCGGUGCCGGCGCAAACGCAGUAAGUAGCCCGCCUGGGGAGUACGGUCGCAAGACUAAAACUCAAAGGAAUUGACGGGGACCCGCACAAGCAGCGGAGCGUGUGGUUUAAUUCGAUGCAACGCGAAGAACCUUACCAGGACUUGACAUGGCACUGUAAGACCCAGAGAUGGGUGCCCCCGCAAGGGCAGUGUCACAGAUGCUGCAUGGCUGUCGUCAGCUCGUGCCGCGAGGUGUUGGGUUAAGUCCCGCAACGAGCGCAACCCCUGGGUCGCGUUAGGAUUCACGACCGACAGCCCCGAACAACGGGGAGGAAGGUGGGGAUGACGUCAAGUCAGCACGGCUCUUACGUCCUGGGCGACACACACGCUACAAUGGGGUGACACAAGGGGCUGCCAACCCGCGAGGGGGAGCCAAUCCCGUCAAAGCACCCCGUAGUGCAGAUUGCAGGCUGCAACUCGCCUGCAUGAAGAUGGAGUUGCUAGUAACCGUGGGUCAGCACACCGCGGUGAAUACGUUCCCGGG